rnacentral:lncRNA from 1 species
ACCUCUUUGCCUUUCUGGGAUGUGAUGAAGGUAACUGGAUUCCUGUAGCAGAACCACUGGAAAAGAGAUAUCGACUCUACUCACAAGAAUUAGAGGAGGGGACCUUAAAUCGUCUACUUCUGCUCCACUCCGUGAUGUUUAACUCCCUUAGGGAUGGUUCUGUUCUGAAUAUAGCUCAGCAGAUGGAGCUGCAUAAGGAGGAUACCAGCAGAGACCAGCUUGACAAUAGGAAAGACCUUCCUUGGGGAGCAAAAUUUGAACUUCCACCUAUCGUCAUAGAACCGGACAGUGAAGGGUACAAGUCAUCAAAAGCCACUCCAUCUAAAAAACCAGGAAAGAGAGAUUCUCUUCUCACUCCAACUUCCUUUCGCCUCCUGAUAACUCCGCCAGUACAUGAGAAAUCCAAUUCUCUCAGCAUGAAAAAGAUGGUCUCCAAGUUGUGUUCUCCCACCAGUUUGGAUUUAAACAUGAAAAAAUUGGGUGAGGAUGUGCCUGCUACCUCACUGAGUGCAGAGGCCUUGAAGGAGAUAGCAGUGAGUACCAAGAGCAUCUCUCUCAUUGCAGCCAGCAGGCGCUCCAAGACCCAUGAUCAAGAAGGUGGAAGCAGCCUUUCUGUGAUGCAGUCCCUUGAUGAGGGGGCAUCAGAACCAAAGUACUGGAAGCCCAAUCUCACUCCUGACCUGACAGAAUCACAGAGGAAAGCUCAGGCUGACAGGAAGCAAUUGCAGUCUAGUCCUAGGAGGGGAAGACAGAGAAACAGCUCACUGGAGCGGAGAACCAGGAGGAAAAGAUCUCCCUCUGGUAUUAGAAAUGCUCAAAUGGGAAAUGAGAAGUUCUCAAUUCCCAUGAUAGACCACCCUUCUGAAAAUCAGUCACCACAAAGUCACUCCAUGCAACAUUCUAAGGCCACUAAGACCCUGUUCCCUGCAGUUCCUGUGGCCACCAAGACCAAAUUCCCCACUAAUCACCACACAGAUGAAAACACACUGCAGGUACCUGAAAUCAGCUUCACUUUUCCCAGUGCCAUCUGGCAAUGCAAUCCAGGACAGAACCGAGGGCCAGUUCUCCCCAGAGAAGUCAAAGGGUCUGCAGAGAGUAGCAGCAGCCAUCAUAACUCUUUGCAUCCUGGAAUCACUCGAAAGCAACUGGGAGGCAGUGCGAAGAAACAGGGGAGACCAAAAUAAAAUGCCCAUUCUGAAGGAUAGCAGCUCCAAGGAGAAACUAGUAUAAACAAAGCUUCUCUUUUUUUGCUUAAAUGGAUUUGGGGAAAAGAGGGAGGAGACAGUGAAACUUGGAAGGCCCAUCAAGUUUUCAUUUCUGUCAAUCCUCUCCAUAUCAGAAAAAACAAAAAACAAAAACCACUUUUCUUUGCCUUUUAAAGACCAAGUUGGUGAUUAUCCAUUGACAAGUUUUUAAAGAAAGAUGUAAUCUUUGAUACCUUUUCCCUCCCCAGGCUUCCAAGCAGCAAUAUUCAGAGUUUUGUUUAGGGUCUGCUCAAUUGACUCCAUAAUCUAAGACAUUCCUGUCAGCAGGUAGGAAGAAGAAGCCAAAGUACUUCUAUUUUCUAGGUGCCUGACUGGGAAUAGCUGAUUACUUAGUCACAAUACUUCUCUUCUUCCUCCUUGUCCUACAUACCCCCCUCGAAUUGGACUUAAAAUCUGCCUCAAAAAUUUACUAGCUAUGAAACACUGGGCAAGUCACUUAAUGUCUUCUGUGUCUUUGUUUUUUUAAUCUAUAAAAUUAAGGAGCUGGACAUGAUGAGCUCUAAAGUCCUUUCUAGCUCUCAAGCUAUGAUUCUGUUCUUUUAUAAGGCCUGUUUCCCUUCCCUUUUCCCCCUCCACACAAAAACUCUCCAAGAUUUGGGGAGAGGGAAUCAAGAGAAGCCCUCCCACAGGAAUUUUCUCCAAUCCUUGAAUAAUUAUACCCGGGCAUCUUUCUUCCAUAUAUUACCAUCAGCCCCCAAAGACCUUUUCUUCUAGGAAAGAGGAGGCAGUGAAGUUCUCCACUUUAGGGAUUUGGAAGCCUUCUCUCUUUUCUGUGUAGGAAAUUAGCUUUUUUCAUGGGAAAUGUAAGUAAAAAUGACUUGGGCAGAGACCUGGUACUUUUACAUGAAAAGUAUAUGAAGCUUCAGUAAACAAUUAAUACCAUGUUUGUCUGAUAAAUGAUACACUUUUCUUUCUAAGGGUAGACAUAUUUUGUAAAUUAAUAUGGGGAAGGGAGAUGGCUAUAGGCUUUUGUGUUUUGUAAUACCAAAUGUAAAUAAAAUAUCAGUUGUUU